rnacentral:rRNA from 1 species
GGGUUGUGAGGUUAAGCGACUAAGCGUACACGGUGGAUGCCCUGGCAGUCAGAGGCGAUGAAGGACGUGCUAAUCUGCGAUAAGCGUCGGUAAGGUGAUAUGAACCGUUAUAACCGGCGAUUUCCGAAUGGGGAAACCCAGUGUGAUUCGUCACACUAUCAUUAACUGAAUCCAUAGGUUAAUGAGGCGAACCGGGGGAACUGAAACAUCUAAGUACCCCGAGGAAAAGAAAUCAACCGAGAUUCCCCCAGUAGCGGCGAGCGAACGGGGAGGAGCCCAGAGCCUGAAUCAGUGUGUGUGUUAGUGGAAGCGUCUGGAAAGGCGCGCGAUACAGGGUGACAGCCCCGUACACAAAAAUGCACAUGCUGUGAGCUCGAUGAGUAGGGCGGGACACGUGGUAUCCUGUCUGAAUAUGGGGGGACCAUCCUCCAAGGCUAAAUACUCCUGACUGACCGAUAGUGAACCAGUACCGUGAGGGAAAGGCGAAAAGAACCCCGGCGAGGGGAGUGAAAAAGAACCUGAAACCGUGUACGUACAAGCAGUGGGAGCACAGAGCAAUCUGUGUGACUGCGUACCUUUUGUAUAAUGGGUCAGCGACUUAUAUUCUGUAGCAAGGUUAACCGAAUAGGGGAGCCGAAGGGAAACCGAGUCUUAACUGGGCGUUAAGUUGCAGGGUAUAGACCCGAAACCCGGUGAUCUAGCCAUGGGCAGGUUGAAGGUUGGGUAACACUAACUGGAGGACCGAACCGACUAAUGUUGAAAAAUUAGCGGAUGACUUGUGGCUGGGGGUGAAAGGCCAAUCAAACCGGGAGAUAGCUGGUUCUCCCCGAAAGCUAUUUAGGUAGCGCCUCGUGAAUUCAUCUCCGGGGGUAGAGCACUGUUUCGGCAAGGGGGUCAUCCCGACUUACCAACCCGAUGCAAACUGCGAAUACCGGAGAAUGUUAUCACGGGAGACACACGGCGGGUGCUAACGUCCGUCGUGAAGAGGGAAACAACCCAGACCGCCAGCUAAGGUCCCAAAGUCAUGGUUAAGUGGGAAACGAUGUGGGAAGGCCCAGACAGCCAGGAUGUUGGCUUAGAAGCAGCCAUCAUUUAAAGAAAGCGUAAUAGCUCACUGGUCGAGUCGGCCUGCGCGGAAGAUGUAACGGGGCUAAACCAUGCACCGAAGCUGCGGCAGCGACGCUUAUGCGUUGUUGGGUAGGGGAGCGUUCUGUAAGCCUGUGAAGGUGUGCUGUGAGGCAUGCUGGAGGUAUCAGAAGUGCGAAUGCUGACAUAAGUAACGAUAAAGCGGGUGAAAAGCCCGCUCGCCGGAAGACCAAGGGUUCCUGUCCAACGUUAAUCGGGGCAGGGUGAGUCGACCCCUAAGGCGAGGCCGAAAGGCGUAGUCGAUGGGAAACAGGUUAAUAUUCCUGUACUUGGUGUUACUGCGAAGGGGGGACGGAGAAGGCUAUGUUGGCCGGGCGACGGUUGUCCCGGUUUAAGCGUGUAGGCUGGUUUUCCAGGCAAAUCCGGAAAAUCAAGGCUGAGGCGUGAUGACGAGGCACUACGGUGCUGAAGCAACAAAUGCCCUGCUUCCAGGAAAAGCCUCUAAGCAUCAGGUAACAUCAAAUCGUACCCCAAACCGACACAGGUGGUCAGGUAGAGAAUACCAAGGCGCUUGAGAGAACUCGGGUGAAGGAACUAGGCAAAAUGGUGCCGUAACUUCGGGAGAAGGCACGCUGAUAUGUAGGUGAAGUCCCUCGCGGAUGGAGCUGAAAUCAGUCGAAGAUACCAGCUGGCUGCAACUGUUUAUUAAAAACACAGCACUGUGCAAACACGAAAGUGGACGUAUACGGUGUGACGCCUGCCCGGUGCCGGAAGGUUAAUUGAUGGGGUUAGCGCAAGCGAAGCUCUUGAUCGAAGCCCCGGUAAACGGCGGCCGUAACUAUAACGGUCCUAAGGUAGCGAAAUUCCUUGUCGGGUAAGUUCCGACCUGCACGAAUGGCGUAAUGAUGGCCAGGCUGUCUCCACCCGAGACUCAGUGAAAUUGAACUCGCUGUGAAGAUGCAGUGUACCCGCGGCAAGACGGAAAGACCCCGUGAACCUUUACUAUAGCUUGACACUGAACAUUGAGCCUUGAUGUGUAGGAUAGGUGGGAGGCUUUGAAGUGUGGACGCCAGUCUGCAUGGAGCCGACCUUGAAAUACCACCCUUUAAUGUUUGAUGUUCUAACGUUGACCCGUGAUCCGGGUUGCGGACAGUGUCUGGUGGGUAGUUUGACUGGGGCGGUCUCCUCCUAAAGAGUAACGGAGGAGCACGAAGGUUGGCUAAUCCUGGUCGGACAUCAGGAGGUUAGUGCAAUGGCAUAAGCCAGCUUGACUGCGAGCGUGACGGCGCGAGCAGGUGCGAAAGCAGGUCAUAGUGAUCCGGUGGUUCUGAAUGGAAGGGCCAUCGCUCAACGGAUAAAAGGUACUCCGGGGAUAACAGGCUGAUACCGCCCAAGAGUUCAUAUCGACGGCGGUGUUUGGCACCUCGAUGUCGGCUCAUCACAUCCUGGGGCUGAAGUAGGUCCCAAGGGUAUGGCUGUUCGCCAUUUAAAGUGGUACGCGAGCUGGGUUUAGAACGUCGUGAGACAGUUCGGUCCCUAUCUGCCGUGGGCGCUGGAGAACUGAGGGGGGCUGCUCCUAGUACGAGAGGACCGGAGUGGACGCAUCACUGGUGUUCGGGUUGUCAUGCCAAUGGCACUGCCCGGUAGCUAAAUGCGGAAGAGAUAAGUGCUGAAAGCAUCUAAGCACGAAACUUGCCCCGAGAUGAGUUCUCCCUGACUCCUUGAGAGUCCUGAAGGAACGUUGAAGACGACGACGUUGAUAGGCCGGGUGUGUAAGCGCAGCGAUGCGUUGAGCUAACCGGUACUAAUGAACCGUGAGGCUUAACCUUACAACGCCGAAG